rnacentral:misc_RNA from 1 species
GAAAUGCGAUAAGUAAUGUGAAUUGCAGAAUUCAGUGAAUCAUCGAAUCUUUGAACGCACAUUGCGCCCGCCAGUAUUCUGGCGGGCAUGCCUGUUCGAGCGUCAUUUCAACCAUCAAGCCCCCGGGCUUGUGUUGGGGACCUGCGGCUGCCGCAGGCCCCGAAAACCAGUGGCGGGCUCGCUGUCACACCGGGCGUAGUAGAUUUUUCGUCUCGCCCAGGGCGUGCUGCGGGUUCCGGCCGUUAAAAAGCCUCUCUUUUAACCCAAGGUUGACCUCGGAUCAGGUAGGAAUACCCGCUGAACUUAAGC